rnacentral:rRNA from 3 species
AAAUUGAAGAGUUUGAUCAUGGCUCAGAUUGAACGCUGGCGGCAGGCCUAACACAUGCAAGUCGAACGGUAACAGGAAGCAGCUUGCUGCUUCGCUGACGAGUGGCGGACGGGUGAGUAAUGUCUGGGAAACUGCCUGAUGGAGGGGGAU